rnacentral:rRNA from 1 species
AGAGAGAGACAUGCGCGCAUAUCAAUAAGCGGAGGAAAAGAAACUAACAAGGAUUCCCCUAGUAACGGCGAGUGAAGCGGGAAGAGCUCAAAUUUGAAAUCUUAAAGGGUUUCCCUUUACGAAUUGUAGUUUAAAGAAGUGUUUUCUGUUGAGGUUUUGGUAAAAGUUCUUUGGAAUAGGACAUCAUAGAGGGUGAGAAUCCCGUAUUUGACCUUUACUUUCAACUUUGUGAUACACUUUCAAAGAGUCGGAUUGUUUGGGAAUGCAGUCCAAAAUGGGUGGUAAAUUUCAUCUAAAGCUAAAUAUUGGCGAGAGACCGAUAGCGAACAAGUACCGUGAGGGAAAGAUGAAAAGAACUUUGAAAAGAGAGUUAAACAGUACGUGAAAUUGUCAAAAGGGAAGCGUUUGACACCAGUGUUGUUUUUCUGAAAAUCAAUUAAAGAACUGUUUAUGCUAAGUUGUUUAGACUUUAUCAGCUAACUGUUUAGUUUUGAGCUUUUCUUUAAUGCACUUUUCAGUUAACAAGUCAACAUCAAUUUCUUUUGCUGUAAAAAAGCUUGAGGAAGGUGGCUUGAGAUUCGUCUUAAGUGUUUAUAGCCUCUUGCCUAUGCAGUCGGAGAGAUUGAGGUCUGCAGCGUAGAUCCUUCGGGGCUAAAUGCAUUUGUGCUAAGUUAUAGCAUUUUAUGGACAACUUGUUGACUAUGAUUUGUCUUGUAGCUUACUCGCUUAUGUUAUUUUACCUACGCUUAGGAUGUUGAGCGCAUGUCUCUCUCU